rnacentral:tRNA from 1 species
GGAGUUGUGGCUCAGUGGUAGAGCGCUUGCCUAGCAUGUGCAAGGCCCUGGGUUCGAUCCCCAGCACCA